GAAAAAUCUGAAGGUGGAAAUUGAGGGCUGCAAAUCAUUGGAAGAGGUAUUUGAAUUGGGUGAGGCUGAUGAAGGAAGCAGUGAGGAGAAGGAGCUGCCUCUGCUGUCAUCUUUAACAAUGUUACAUCUAAACAGAUUACCUGAGCUCAAAUGUAUAUGGAAGGGGCCCACCAGACAUGUCAGCCUCCAAAGUCUUAUUUUUCUGGAUUUGUAUUCUCUCGACAAACUGACAUUUAUCUUCACAACGUCCCUCGCUCAAAGUCUGCCAAAGCUAGAAAGACUUGACAUACGUGAUUGCGGUGAAUUGAAGCAUGUUAUCAGAGAAGAGGAUGGUGAAAGGGAAAUAAUUCCAGAGUCUCCUCGCUUCCCAGAAUUAAAAACUCUCUACAUAUCUCACUGUGGUAAACUGGAAUAUGUCUUCCCUGUCUCUAUGUCUCCAAGCCUUCCGAACCUGGAAGAGAUGACGAUUUCUUAUGCUGACAAUUUAAAGCCAAUAUUUUACAGUGGAGAAGGAGAUGCACUCACCACAGUUGGCAUCAUCAAGUUCCCUCGACUAAGAAAAUUGUCUCUUUCAAAUUGCAGCUUUUUUGGUCCAAAUAAUUUUGCUGCCCAAUUGCCUUCUUUGCAAAUUCUAAAAAUUGAUGGCCACAAAGAAUUGAGAAAUUUGUUUGCACAGCUCCAAGUACGUCCUUUAUAUUUCUCCAAUAUUUUUUUUCCUUUUUAAUUUAAAUUGUCAACUUCAAUACAUGUUGAUUUCUUCCUUUAAAUUUCUGAAACUGAAGUAAUUGAUGAGUGGAGAUAAAUCCUUUAGCCAUCCACUAAAUUUAAAAGGAUUUGUCUAACUGUAUCAUUCCCUGUCUCUUGAUGCAGGGGUUGACAAAUUUGGAAACAUUAUGCUUGGAAUCCCUGCCUGACAUGAGGAGUAUAUGGAAGGGUCUCGUGCUGAGCAAAUUGACUACUUUGGAGGUGGUUAAGUGUAAGAGACUGACACAUGUAUUCACAUGCAGCAUGAUUGUCAGUCUAGUUCAACUGAAAGUUCUAAAGAUAUUGUCCUGUGAGGAAAUGGAGCAAAUCAUUGCUAAAGAUGAUGAUGAAAACUACCAGAUAUUGUUAGGAGAUCAUCUCCAAUCUUUAUGCUUUCCCAAUUUGUAUGGAAUUGAGAUUAGAGAAUGUAACAAGUUGAAGAGUCUCUUCCCAGUAGCCAUGGCUUCAGGUCUCCCAAAGCUGCAAACACUGAGAAUAAGUGAAGCCUCUCAAUUAUUGGGAGUAUUUGGGCAGGAUGAUCAUGCUUCACCUAUCAACGUUGAGAAGGAGAUGGUGCUUCCUAAUCUGUGGGAGCUGUCGCUAGAACAAUUAUCAAGUAUUGUCUGUUUUAGUUUCGGAACCUGUGAUUUCUUAUUCCCUUGUUUGGGGAAGUUGAAGGUCCAUCAAUGUCCAAAGUUGACCACAAAAUUUGCUACUACACCAGAUGGUUCAAUGAGUGCUCAAUCAGAGGUGCUGCUGAUUUGACUUGAUUUCUUGCCUCUCUUUUAGCGUGUUUGUUUCUUGUUUCCCUCAAUAAUAAGAUUUACAAGUUAAAAUGAGCAUGCCAUGCUUGACUUGGUUUUACAGGUAUAUGAAGUAGAUGAAGAUUCAAGCAUUAAUAGAGACUGGACCAGAAAUAACGGGUGGAAAGAAGAUGGAGACUCAUGUCUUUGAGCUGUGAAUAUAUUUGGACUUGAUGCUGUACUAUUUGUUCAAAAGUUUGAUAUCAUAUUUUCCUAGCAGAACAGUGUCAUGUUGAAUGGUUUUUUCGAGCACAUACCUUGCUGGAUUUUGCUAGAGAUUCUAAAUAUUCCUCUGAUUUCUAUACAUUUGAGCUCAGGUAACCCUUGCAGCGGUAACUCUGUUAAAGAUGACAGCAGCGGCAGCUCCUUCUCCUCACUGCUUCCUUCAUCAGAAGAUGGUGAUGAUGAUGAUGAUGAUUUCAAGGUUGGUGCUGCGAAUAUGUUUUUGAUUGGUGGAAGUAAUUCCUACUGUUUCAUUGGAAAUGGGAUACAAAUUGGCUUCACUUUGUAACAGUCUUAUUUAUCAAAAGAAGAUAUCGACUUAUCUAUAUAUGUGUGAAUAAGGUUAUCUGCUUGUUUACCCAUGUAAUGUAAUGUUGUGUGUUUAGUCAUUACUGUGCGAACCUCAAAAAAAUAAUGUUGCUUGACCAUUAUCGUACAAGCCUCCAGAAGUAGGGGCGUAUGUUGCUUGCCCAUUUGUGUUUCUUUUCAAGUGUGUGAACCUUAAAAAAUAAAGGCAUAAUGUUUAAUGUGUAUUGAAGGAAAGAAUCCCAAGUAAUUAGGAGAUAUACUGUAAUCAAUGGGAUUAAAUAAUUUACCAAAGUUAAUCCUAGAGUAUCUGAUUAUAUGUAAACUGUGUAUAUUGUUGGGAUAUUGCCAUUAUUGUGGCAAUACCCCACCACUAAUUGUGGCUUAGUGGAAGCAUCACUAAUGCCACAAUUAGUGGCAUGAUUUCGGGACCUAAGAAAUGCAUAUAAAGGAGGCUUAUAUUUGAGAGCAAGAGUGUGAGAGAAGAGAGAAUUGUGAGAGUGAAGUGACGAGAAGAAGAGAGAAAGAGGAGCUGCUGCCAUGGGCAGCAGCCCUGCUGCCAUAUGCAGCAGAGUGUGUGAACUGGGAGUUGAGUGAUCCUCCUCCAUGUAUUGUUUUGUAAACCUUUCUCUACCUCUAAUACAAUGACUCUCUCCCGUGGAUGUAGGCGGUUUUGCCGAAUCACGUUAAAUAUUGUGUCAGUGUGCUUACCCUCCGAUGAGCAACUAUCAGUACACCCCCGGUCCGCGCAUGGGGGUGACGGAAUUCCCCAACAAUUGGUAUCAGAGCACAUGGUUUAAAGGGGUGUUUGAUUUUUGCUCAAAAAUGAAAGUUGUCACAAUUGUGUUUUGACCAUACCACUGUGUAGAGAAGGAAGAGACGAAGCCACUGGUGAAAACGGCGUCAAAAUCGGACGUCGGACAUGACCGCACUCUCCAUCACUCUCCGGCAAGGCGUCUGCCCACGCGCGCAGACGCGCCCCACGCGUCUUCUUCACCCGGAUGGGUUGACCCGACCCGAAUACCAGUUGACCCGACCCAUGUGACUGACUCGGAUAUGGAUGACGUCAGCAUGACAUAAUUGUGAUGUCAGCAUGCACAGUAGGCAUGCCAGGGAUGACAUCAGCCUGAUGUAAGUGUGAUGUCAGCAUGCACAGUAGGCAUGCCAUGUCAUCAGACACAUCAUCGACCAGUCAGUAGACACGUCAGCACAGUGGGACCCACCUGCCACGUCACCAGCCACGAGUUGAGCCGAGCCGAGUUGAGCCGAGCCGAAUUGGAGCCGAGCCGAGACGCGAGCCGAGGGACAGGAUCCAGUGUAGCGGAUCCUAAGUGCAACCGGAUCUGAGAUUGAAUCUAAGCCGUUAAUCAGGCCAGAAUUGUUUUGAUCAAAUUGUAGCCGUCUGAAAUGCGAUUUGGACGAUUUCAGACUUGUUUCCAGCUAAUUUGAUCGUUCCGGAUGCAAUGGUACGGUCCGAUCAUUGAGAUUUGAGACCAAAAAUGGCGGUGGUUAAUUAUUAAAGAGAGAUUGCCCGAUCAGGAGGCAUCCGAUGGUCUUCAUGGUGGUCGAUGAAGAUGAAGAAGAAGGUGCACAUGUUUACCCAAUUACAUGUGCUGAACUGCUAAGUGGGGAGAAAUUUAACUGCCUUGAGGGAAGGCAAAAUUGGGACACUCUGGACACCCGAUCAAGUGGACAGUUAGAGGUGUAGAGUGAAAACUGAUGAAGACCAAUCUUGACGAAUCUAAGAACUGGUAGUCUCGUCAGAUGUUGAGAAAUCAUGUAUUAAACCAGUAUAUUCCAGAUCACUUGUAAAGGAAAACCGCAACAAAGCUAGCAAAUGGUUGUAUAUACGGAAAGACAGUACGAUGGAUAGAUAUGGCCUAAGAAGUUCUGUCUAGGAGAUUGGGUUUUAAGCGGGACCAGUGUGACCCCUCCAAUCUUUCCUGGGAACUUGCUUAGUGGAAGGAUUAUCCAUACGGUACUAUUUUCGUAUAUAUAGCAGUUUGUAAUGAAACAGUUGAAGACUAGCAGGAUGGCGGCACAAGGGAACAGUUGGGUUCCAAAGGUUCAAGGAUCUGAUGGAGUGGUGAUUUCUCCAAAGAAGUUAGAUUCGGUGACUGUGAUUUCUUGAGGGAGAAUUGAUGAAGACCCUGAUAAUGGAAGAGGAAUACAGCAAGAGGAUAAAGAUUGGCACCCUAUUUUGACUUGGACAGGUGUUGUGACAGGAUGAGCUGCUGUCAAACAUAAGCAAGGAAUAGGGAGAAAUUCUGGAGAACAGAAAAUGCACGAGGGCACACGGAGAUUGUGCAUGAGUACCCGUAAGAUUCAACGAGGUACUGUAAUGAGACAACAGGUGCAAGGAGAAGAAGUGUUCCCAGAUGAAGCUCAGAGCAGAGACUGUUAAAGUUUGUACAACAGGAAGUCUCUUGUGCUCUUAAUGAAGACAACAUGCGAAGACCUUUCCAAUGCAUGCAAGGAUGGAAAGAGAGCUGUUGCAGAGGCACCUAAUUGAGGGGGUGCAAAUGCCUAUGAUAAAAGGCGACCGCCUAUGAUGAAAGGCGAAGACACCAAAGAGAGUUGGUGUAGGUGGAGCUGUCAAGCAGAAAGGCACAGAAGCUCCAAACAUAGAAAUUGAGGUGGAGGAUUGCGAGGAGUAUACCACAACUUUCUCUUUCUAUGUAGUCAGUGGCAGCAAUCUCUCCCAUAGUGCACAUGGUGGUAGAGAAUUUUGGAGCCACUUUGAAGCAUCUCAGCUGAAGGAGGAUGCGACCGCCCCAUGACAACGGGCGAAGACACCUUAGAUGGAAGGUGUGUGAUGGCCAUGAUAGGAGCCCGGAUCAGACCGCCCUAUGACAACGGGCGAAGACACCUUAGAGAAGGUGUGAGGGCCUUGAUAUGAGCCCCAGAUCAGACUGUCCUAUGACAACGGGCGAAGACACCUAAGGAGAAGGUGUGUGGGCCACGAUAUGAGCCCAGUUCAGAACGCCCCAGAGCUAAAAUGAUGGCUGGAUAUAAGUGGACAGGUGUAUAGCCAAUGAAGUGGCUAUGAUGAGUAUGGAGACAGAUGCAGGAUUGACUUUCAUGGAUAUUGCCCCCAUGCUAAAGAUCAAUGAGCUAGAAGACAUUUGCCUUGGACAAUAAGUGUGUGACUUGUGGAGCAUUAAGACGCGGCUGCUAUGAAGGAGCAGAGGGCAUGCGCAGGUUCCCUGAACAAGUUGACUCUUGUCAAGGUGGUGAGCUCGGUAAUGGCAUUGUAAUACUCAGAGUAUGAAGAUAGAUAUGGAUCAACCUUUAUGGGCUGCCCCCAUGGUGAAAGGUGGAGAGCUACCUGGACUCUUACGACUAAGAGCGAGAGACUCACGGAGAAGUAAGGCGUGGUUCCUAGGGUGGAACAGAGGGCAUGCGCAACUCCUGGAUGAGUAGACUCUUGGAAGAGUGGUGAGCUUGUGAUCACAUUGAAAUACUCAAUGACUGUCGCACUUGGGAAUAUUCGUUUGAGGGGGUGUCAUAAGCCUUGGUGUAAGGCUUGAAAAAUCAUUCCGGACCGAGCAUGGUUGAUACGCUCGAAGGGGAAUGUUGUGUUGAAGACGCUCUCAGAAUGGAAGCUUGGAAGAGCUGCAAAAUGCAAGCUUGUGCUGAAGAAGCAAAAGGACAAUUGCCCACAUAAAUGGCAAAGGGGUGAUUGUUAGGAAAUUGCCAUUAUUGUGGCAAAUGCCCCACCCACCACUAUGCUUAGUGGAAUACUUAGUGGAAGCUUCAUUCAUGCCAUAAUUAGUGGCAGGAUUUCAGGACCCGUUGUCCCCUUGAUGUGCUGGAGAAGGCUACUAAGAAAUGCAUAUAAAGGAGGCUUAUAUUUGAGAGCAAGAGUGUGAGAGAAGAGAGAAUUGUGAGAGUGAAGUGACGAGAAGAAGAGAGAAAGAGGAGCUGCUGCCAUGGGCAGCAGCCCUGCUGCCAUAUGCAGCAGAGUGUGUGAACUGGGAGUUGAGUGAUCCUCCUCCAUGUAUUGUUUUGUAAACCUUUCUCUACCUCUAAUACAAUGACUCUCUCCCGUGGAUGUAGGCGGUUUUGCCGAAUCACGUUAAAUAUUGUGUCAGUGUGCUUACCCUCCGAUGAGCAACUAUCAGUACACCCCCGGUCCGCGCAUGGGGGUGACGGAAUUCCCCAACAUAUAUAUAUAUAUCGUGCUUCUUUGCAAUAUGAAGACACUGAAUACAGAAUACAAUAAUAUUAUCAUUCUGUUCAUGGUAUGUUCUGAGAACCUAGAAAUACAACCCAGUAAUCCACACAACCAAAUACCUCAUGGCGGGUGACGAAGACCAAAAGCUUCUUGAUCAAAACAAGAGCUCAAACUCUUUCAAGACCUCAGAACCAUGGGAGAACUCCAAUCAUUCACUUUUUCUCCAUCACUCAGAUCAACCAGGCGCUGUCCUCGUUUCAAAAUCGCUGAUGGAAGACAAUUACACAACAUGAGUACAGUCAAUGAGCAUGGCACUUACUAUAAAAAACAAGAAGGGCUUUGUAGAUGGAACUCUCAAGAGACCGACUCAUAAUCCUGAUGAGCAACAACAAUGAGACUGCUGUGACAUUCUUGUAAAAACCUGGCUGCUAGGAGCCAUGUCGAAGGAUAUCUUAGGCAGUGUCAUCCAUUGCAAGGACACAAGAGGUAUAUGGCUAGAGCUGAAAGAGAGAUUUUCUCAAACUAACGUAGUUUCAUUGUUCCAUAUAGAAAAUGCCAUUCAUGACUGUGAACAAAGUACAAACUCAGUCAUGUCCUUUUUCACGAAGCUCAAAAGCUGUGGGAUGAGAAGGAUGCCCUCUGUGCAUUCCCUCCUUGCAAUUGUGAGGCAGCUACCGCUGUUAAGGUUUUCAUGGAAACACAAAAAGACCAUGAAGUUCCUGAUGGGGCUUAACGAAAGCUAUGCACAGACCCGAAGCAAUAUAAUAGGCAUGGAUCCUCUUCCGAACCUGGACAAAGCCUAUGCAAUGGCUUUACUACAUGAGAAGCAGGCAGAGGCCUUUACUGGAAAGUCGAUGACACCAUCAGAAGCAUCUGCUUUUGCAGUAAAGAAGGUGACCUGUGAUUUUAACUCUACAGAAGGAGAAGCUAAAUUUUGUGAAAAAUGCAACAUGAAUAAUCACAACACAAAGAACUGCAGAGCUCAUCUCAAAUGCACAUAUUGCAAUGGAAAAGGACAUACCUAUGAUUAUUGUUGAAGGAGAAAGAACGCUACUGAAGGUGGACAAACAAGAUCGAAAGCAAAUCAUAUAGCCCCUCAAAAUAAUAGUAAGGAAGCUUUGCCUAAUUUCCCUUUCUCACGAGAAGAGUGCCAUCAACUUCUCAGUCAGCUUUUAACAAAAAUGAAGUCUGCCUCCGCCAAUCUAGUCAUUUUCGGUUUGCACACAGUAGUGAAGAAACAACAUGGAUACUGGAUAGUGGUGCAAGUGAUUAUAUUGUUUGUAACCCAAAUUUGCUUACCUCUCUAAAAUCAGUCCAUAACCGUUGGGUUAAGCUUCCUGAUGGAACCUCCACACACGUUACUCAUAUUGGCACAUUAUCUUUCUCUCCCCACUUUGUUCUUCAUAAUGUCCUUUAUGUCCCACUCUUCUAUCUCAAUUUGAUUUCUAUGAGCAAACUAGCAUUUGAUUCAUUCUAUAUUACUAUCUUUCUCAGACAAAUUUGUGUCAUACAGGACCUACGAUCGGGGAAGAUGAUUGGGAUGGGAACUGAGAAUGAGGGCCUUUACUGCCUCAAUUACUCAACGAAAGGAACAUGCAAUGCAGUACACACCAACACAAACAACUUGUGGCAUCAACGCCUUGGUCACCCUUCAAAUAAAGCAUCUUCAUUAUUUCCAUUCCUUGCCAAUAAAACUUGUAUUUCAAGUACUUGCUCUAUCUGUCCUUUAUCCAAACUCACUAGACAACCUUUCCCAUUAAGCACUACACAUAGUGAAUUUUGCUUUGAUUUAAUUCACAUUGAUAUUUGGGGUGGUUAUCAUGUCCCAUCUUCUUCUUCUGGUGCACAAUAUUUUUUAACCAUUGUUGAUGACCAUUUACGAAGCACAUGGGUAUAUUUGAUAAAAACACAAAUUUGAAGCACACAUUCUACUUAUUCAUUUUAUUCACUUGGUUGAAAAUCAGUUUGGAAAAAAUGUUAAAGUUGUAAGGAGUGAUAAUGGCCUAGAAUUUAAGAUUUCCUAAUUUUAUUCAUCUAAAGGCAUUAUCCAUCAAACUAGUUGCGUCAACACACCACAACAAAAUGGUGUGGCUGAGCGCAAACAUCGACAUUUGCUAAAUGUAGCUAGAGCUCUCUUUUUUCAAGCAACUCUACCAAAACAUUUUUGGAGGGAUGCCAUACUCACUGCGGCUUACUUGAUCAAGUUAUUCUUAAAGGGAAAACACCAUUUGAAAACCUUUUUCAUAAGGAACCAAGUUAUUCCCAUUUAAAGGUUUUUGGAUAUCAAUGUUUUGUGUCCACAUCCAACCCGUCCUAGCAAAUUUGAUCCCAGGUCCACAGAAUGUAUUUUUCUUGGCUACCCACAUGGCCAAAAAGGGUAUAAGGUUUAUAACUUGACAACUAAGAAAAUCCUCGUUUCAAGGGAUGUGAUUUUCUUUGAGCAUGUGUUUCCUUUUAAAACAAAUUCUGCUUCCCAUUUUUUGCCCCACUUACUAAUUUUCAUUCCUGCAAUUUCUCAUCCACAUUCCAUGCACAACUCCAUUCCUACACCUUAUCCUUAAAAUCCCCAAUCUUCUGCUGACCAUCACUUUCCUGAUACUACUCCACCCAUAGUUGUUAAAAUCUCGAUUUAACUCGUAAAAUCAUAUGAUUUUACGAGUCAAUAUAUGUUAUCGUGUUAAAUCAGCUUAAAAACUUGAAAAANNNNNNNNNNNNNNNNNNNNNNNNNNNNNNNNNNNNNNNNNNNNNNNNNNNNNNNNNNNNNNNNNNNNNNNNNNNNNNNNNNNNNNNNNNNNNNNNNNNNUAGUGUGCCGCACGUAUUUAAGUAUACUAACAAAAAGGUACCGCCAAAAUGAGCAGUGUGGCAGCGACAAGCUCGAGGGUGGUUAAGGGAAGGGUUAAACUGGGUUAUACAGUACUUGCAUGUUCUGAGAGUUUUGUUGUUAUUCUGGUUUAUGGAAAAAUGAGUUAUCAGCAAUCUUUGUGAUUCUAUGAUGGACUUCUGGUAAGAUUGAAGAGAGAAGGUUGUGUUUUGAUGGAGAAAAUGUGAGAAAGGGAGUUAAUCGUGGUGGAGAGUAAAAGCCAUAUCUUUUCUUUCUUCUAAUCUCUUAGUGACUAUCGAGAAAGCAAAUCUCUUAGUGACUAUCAAGAAAGCAAGACAGUUCUCUUUUCCAGUGAAGGGAAAUUUGCUACAAUGGUUUGUUUGACAGGACGGUUAAUGGGCUUGGAAAUUUUCUUAAAAAUAUCUCUCAUUUUUUCUGAAACUUUUCUUAAAAAUAUCUCUUAUUUUUUGCACACAUUUCUCCCUGAUGUGUGAAAUACAAAGAUAUUAGGAAUGAUUUCAGCUUGUAUUAGAAAAUUUAUUAAGAAUUUUUUUUUGUAAAAAUUUCAAAUUUCCUUACGAUUUUACGCUUUUACGAUCUGUUUUUACAAUCAGAGUUUAUUUUGUAUUUUCCAUGCCGUGUCAAAAAUAUGUUUUUGAAAACCUUGAUUCCACCCUCAGAUCCAAUUUCCACUCCACUUACUCCUUCUCUCACAAAUAUCAAUCCCUCCAUUACUUCUAAAAAUAAUCCCGCACUUGACACAUCUUUUAGUUCCAUUUCAUCACCUUUGCAACCUCCCAACUGCCUUCACCACAACCACGCAAGUCUUCUCGAGCCAUAAAACUUCCAACUGCAUUGCAGGGCUUUCAUAUUGAUGCAGCUCUUCCCUCAUGCCCCGAUCCGUCAGCUUCCUCGAACAAGGUCAUCUCUCUAGGUAUGGCUCAUAGCCUCUCUCAUAUCCUAUCUUAUGCUAAUCUUUCUUCCCCUCACAGAACCUUUACUACUAAUAUGACCAUACAAAGAAAGCCUACCUCAUUUUCUCAGGUAGUUAAGGACCCGAAAUGGAGAGCAGCUAUGCAGCAAGAGGUUCAAGCACUUCAUGCUAACAAGACUUGGAGUUUGGUUUCUCCUCCGGCUCACAAACGACCAAUUGGUUCUAAGUGGGUAUAUAAAAUCAAGUAUAAUCCCGAUGGCACAGUUGAGCGCUACAAGGCUAGGUUAGUGGCCAAUGGUUACAGCCAAGUUGAAGGGAUUGAUUAUAGGGAAACAUUUGCGCUAGUUGCUAAGCUCACAACAGUUCGUGUCUUACUCAGUCUUGCAGCCAUGCAGAAUUGGCACCUUCAUCAAUUGGACGUAAAUAAUGCGUUUCUCAAUGGAGAUCUCUAUGAAGAUGUUUACAUGUAGCUUCCUCCUGGCUUCGAACGAAAGGGGGAGAAUCAGGUUUGUAAGCUACACAAAUUAUUAUAUGGCCUGAAGCAAGCCUCAAGGCAAUGGUUUUUGAAGCUUUCCUCAGCCCUCAAAUAAGUUAGCUUCAAGCAAUCAUAGUCCGACUAUUCCUUGUUUGUCCGAAACCAUCAAGGUAUCUUCACAGCUUUGUUGGUCUAUGUCGAUGAUGUUAUUCUUGCAGGGAACAAUUUAGAAGACAUCACAAAGACCAAGUGCUUUCUCUCAAGCCACUUCAAACUGAAGGAUAUGAGACAAUUGAAAUACUUUCUUAUAAUAGAAGUAGCAAGAUCCAAGCACGGGAUUUCCUUGUGUCAAAGGAAAUAUGCAUUGGAAAUCCUUGAAGAUACAGGGUUCCUUGGUGCUAAACCUUCACGGUUUCCAGCUGAACAAAAUGUGACACUUAUACAAGGAGAUGAAGACUUAUUAGAAGACGCCUCCCAAUAUCGAAGACUGGUUGGACGUCUCAUUUAUCUAACCAUCACACGGCCAGACCUUGCAUACGCAGUUCAUAUACUUAGUCGGUUCAUGGACAAACCUAGGCAGCUUCACUUAGAAGCAGCACACAAGGUAUUGAGGUACAUCAAGCAAGCACCUGGUCAGGGAAUUCUCUUACCUUCCAAAGGGUCAUUGGAUUUAAGGGCAUAUUGUGAUGCAGACUGAGUUCAUUGCAAGGACACUAGAAAGUCAACAACUGGCUAUUGUAUUUUCCUUGGACAUGCUCCCAUUUCAUGGAAGACAAAGAAACAAAGUACAAUAUCAUAUUCGAGUGUAGAAGUUGAGUAUCAUUCCAUGGCUACUACAUGCUGUGAAAUAACAUGGCUGCAAUACAUUUUAAGGGACUUGAAUGUUAAGCAUGAGCAACCAGAUAAAUUGUUUUGUGACAAUAAGGCAGCAAUACACAUAGCCUCAAAUCUCGUGUUUCAUGAACCAAGCAUAUAGAAAUAGACUGUCAUCUGGUGCGAGAAAAGGUGCAGAAAGAAUUGGUUUAACCAGAGCACAUACGGACCAAGGAGCAACCAGCAGACAUAUUCACUAAGCCACUAAGUUCAAACCAGUUCUCCAUAUUACUGGGCAAGUUAGGAGUGAUCAACAUAAACUCUAACUUGAGAGGGAGUAUUGAAGGAAAGAAUCCCAAGUAAUUAGAUGAUAUACUAUAAUCAAUGGGAUGAAAUAAUUUACCAAAGUUAAUCCUAGAAUAGCUCCUAGAAUAUUUCCUAGAAUAGUGGAUGUGAUUGUAUGUAAACUGUGUAUAUAUAUGUCGUGCUUCUUUGCAAUAUGAAGACACUGAAUACAUAAUACAAUAAUAUUAUCAUUCUGUUCAGUGUGGACUUUCAUUCAUUCUCCUUUCUACGACUUGAGUAUUUUCUGCAUCAGCAUGUUUUCUCUAUUAAUUUGAUGUUCUGUUUCUAUUGCAUAAUGCAUUAUGCGGUUUUGGGCAUCAGCAAUGCCGCUCAAGAUCUUCAAUAAAUGUUAUUGUAUGAGUAUGUGAAUGUAUUUGGGCAUUCAAAUCUCAAGAUGACUGAGACUUGAUUUCAUGCUUUCCUAGCAGAACAAUCUCAUGUAGAAUGGUUUUUUCGAGCAGAUACCUUGCUAGAGAUUCUAAAAAAAAUUAAAAUCAAAAGUCAAAAAUAUAUUAAAUCAAUUUACGAAAGUCGUAUAUGAUAUAAUCUAACUUUAACUACUUCUUGAAAUCUCUUUGUUGUAAUCUUAAUUAUAUAUGCUUCAUAUUAUAUUUUAAAUUAAAACAUUUGUUAUUCUUACCAUAACAAAUUGUAAUGUGGGCAAGACUCAAGUUAUUAUGCAUUGAACUAUUCUCCUAUAAUGCAAUCCUUUUAUAGGUUGCAUAAAAGUUUAAUAUGGUCCUUGAAAUUUUUGUUUUUCAUAUUUAUUUAAUCCUAUAGUGUUAAAUUUUUAUAAUUCAAUCUUAAAACUUCAUUUUUAUCAUAUUUUUAGUUAUUGAAUGUUGAGAGGAGACAGGGAAUGUGGUGAGAAAACGGAGAAAAGAGAGGAUUUGACUGAUCAUAUUCUAGUAAUAAAAAGACCGAUUUUAAUAUCAAUAGAUUCAUCUUGAACAUGAGAGUUUCAUUAAAAUGAUAUUGUUAUUUAACCAUUAAUGAUCUUAAAUAAACAUUUACUUGAUUUAAAAAUGAAAAACCAAUCAGAAUCUAAAUUAAUUAUCGAGUCAUGAUCUACUUAUUUAACCAUUAAUUCUAGGUUUAAGAUUGAAAAUGAUAAAUUUCAGUUUGGUCUCUCAAUUUAUGCAAAAUUUAGUUUAGUUCCUAGAGCAUAAUCUGAGAUUCUGGAUAAAAUGUAAUGUUGAGAAAUUAUAGGGACAUGUUACUUAGUAGCUCAAAAAGAUAAGGGACUAAAAUGAACUUUGCAAACAAUUACAAUGUCGCCGCAUAUUUUUACCAAGUUUUUCAUUUCAGUCAUGUAUCUUUGAAUUCAACUCUUAUACUUAAAAAACAAAAUGCAAUUGAGUUUUAAUUUGGGCAUAAAGAGAUUCGAUUAUGAAAAAAAAAAAAUUUCAAAUAUCAAAUUGAAAAUUUUAAAAAAAUUCACUAUUAAAUUUCAAAUAUCAAAUUGCAUCAAGUGAUUUUUUGAGAUCAUUUCCCAAUUGAGGACGACAGACUACGGGAAAGAGGAGAUUGGUUGUGGUGGGGAUUGAAGCUGUGAUUUGGGAUCGGUUCAGCAUCUUCUGCUGAUAGGUUUAUCCAGCAGACUACAAGAGGUAAGAACCUGCUCUUAUAUAUCAUGCAAAGAAAUGGAUCAGAUCAGAGUUGCCAAACAUGAAAAGAGAACAAGAGCUAAAGCUGCAUAAAUUAACAGCUUAAUAAAAAGAAUACAAUUUUAUUGUGAUCUUUUGAAAAUAAAAGAGAAUAGAAAAAGGCUACAAAAUUCUUGGAGGCAUAGAAAGAGGUAUAAAUGAAUGAACUGUAAUAAUUGAACAAAGAAUUGAUAAAUAUAAAUAGAAAAAAAUAAAGAGCUCUGAAUUCUUAGAGAGAAAACCGUGAGAGUGAAAAAAGAAAAACAGGAAAAGAGGAAAAAAUAAAGAAAGAUGAAGAGAGUUGGAUAAAAUAAGUUAAAAUGUAAGAUUUACGCAUUGAUGUGUAUAAAUGUGUUUUUCUUAGCUUUAAUUUUCUGUUUUGUUGAAUAUUAGAGUUUUGAAGAUUGUGUUUUGGGUUUGAUUGAUGAAUUGAUUUGAAUAUUAUGUGUUAAUUGUUAUUGAUAAUGAGUUAUAUAGUUGAUUUUUAAAGAUUUUAAGUAAAAAUGAUGAUUUUGAGUUAUGGUUUGUUUUAAUGAUGAAUUUGAGUUAGAAAUCUUGAUAUAUCAAUAGUUGAUCUGUGAAAAUUCUGGGUUUGAGGUUGAAGAUCAUGAAAUUUCAGUUUGGUCCUUCAAUUUGUGAAAAUUUCAGUUUAGUUCCUAGAGCAUAAUCCAAGAUUCUAUAUAAAAUGUAAUGUUGAGAAAUUAUAGGGACAUGUUACUUAGUAGCUCAAAAAGAUAAGGAACUAAAAUGAACUUUUCAAAUAAUUACAGUGUCACUAUAUAGUUUUACGGAGUUUUUCAUUUCAGUUGUCUAUUUUUCAAUUCAACUCUUAUCCUUAAAAAAAAAAUGCAAUUGAGUUUUAAUUUUAGCAUAAAGAGAUUCAAUUAUGUAAAAAAAUAAUAAUAAUCCAAAUACCAAAUUGAAAAUUUUAAAAAAAAUUCACUAUUAACAUCCACAUCCACAAUAAAAUAAGUCUCGGUAAAUAAUAAUAAACAGAAAACUCUUUUAUCUUUUAAUAUAUAAUUUUGUAUUGUGACACAUAUUUUUUGAAUAAUUUUUUAUUUAAAAACAUAUUAAAAUAUUAUAUAUAUAAAAUAACAAGAAAUAUUAAAAAAUAUAUUAAUUAAAUAUUUUUAUAAAUUAAAUAUAAUUAUAAAAACCACUCUCACACAGUAAAAAAACAAAUAGCCUCGUUUUCAUACUAAUUUUCAUCUUCUAUUUUCUACAAGACUGGCUUUCUUCCUUCUUUAUCCCAUUCAUUUUUUUCUCCUUUUAUCAUGCUGUGAUUUUAAGAUUUUUAUUUUAAGUGUUUGAAUAACUAGUUGUUUUUUAAAAUAUUUUUUUAUUUUAAAAAUAUAUUAAAAUAAUAUAUUUUUUAUUUUUUAAAAAUUAUUUUUAAUAUCAAUAUAAAAAUAUAAAAAUUAAUUUAGAAUACAAAAAAUUAUUUUAUAAAAAAAUAAUUUAAAAAAUAAAAAACAAACACGCUAUUUCCCUCCUUAUUUGCUGCCGUGAUUUCAGGUCCUCUUUUCCUGCCUUAUUUGCAAGAGCAUGAAAAAAAUAAAUAAAACAAAAUGAAAUCAAACGAGCAUGGCUGUUAACAACUAAAAGUCAAAAUAUAGAGAAAAAUACUAUCGUAGUCUUUCCUUUUCUGGCUCCAACAACCUCUCCCUUUAUUUCCACGUCCCUAUCUUAUCUCAACCGUGCCUUUCCUCUUUUUUUUUUUUUUUUUUGUUUUUGAAAAGCCUUUUAAGCUUUCUCUCUCCCACUUUCUAUCCUUUCCUAAGGGUAGAUAAAGUUGAACACGUGGCGACCAUCUAUUAACUUUUGAAAUUACCUUUAUCUCCAUGUCACAGUAUUUUUUUUUAUGAAAAGUAAAUUAUUUGUUGAUAUUUGAUAGUAUGGUAAAAUAAAUUGAAAAAUAUUUUUCAAUAUUUAAUUAUGUUAUGUAAAAUAAACUGGAAAAUAACGUAUUAAUAUUAUUUUUUUCAAAUUUAUUAAAAUAACAAGUAACAAAUCUUACAAAUUAAAAAGUUGAAUGAGAAAGAAAUUAAAAAAAAUCUAAUUUCAUAAAUUAUCUCAAAUAAAAUAAAUAACAAUCAAAAUAAUGGAGAUCAAAUCUAAAAAUAAAAAACUUAAAAAAUGAUGAAAUUAAAAUAAUAAUAAUUACAAUUUCAUAAAUUAUUUCAAAUAGAAUAAGUAACAAUUAAAAGAAUAAGGACCGAAUUUGAUAGAUAAAAAAUGAUGAAAUUAAAAUAAUAAUAAUUAUAAUUUCAUAAAUUAUUUCAAAUAGAAUAAGUAACAAUUAAAAGAAUAAGAACCGAAUUUGAUAGAUAAAAAAUUUCAAUUAAAAAAAUAAAAAGAGAAAAGCAAAUAACAAUCAUAAAAGUAAAGAUUAAAUUUAAUAUAAAAUGAAAUUCUAAGGAGUGAAAUUGAAAACAAAAAUAUUCAAAACAAAAUAUAUAGUAAUUAAAAGUUUGAGGAUCAAAUUUGUUAUAAUCAACAAAUAAUAUGAUAUUUUUAAAUUUUUUAUAAUUUCUGAAAAGUGUUUUCUGCUUAAAAUAAAAAAAAAUACUUUCCUAAAAAUUAAGUUAAUUUUUUUCACUAAAAAAUAUUUUUCAUUGAAUAAUUUUUUUAAUAACAAAUAAAUAUAAAGAAUUUAUAAAAAACUACUUUCUGUCAGCAAACUCUUUUCUCCUACUUUCUACCACUAUCUUAAUGUGCAGAUCAGGUUGAACAAGUGGCGAUAAUCUAUUGGUUACUUGGAUCAGCUGGUCACCGUGUCACAAAAAGAUUUAAAAUUCUCCUUUCAUUUACUCACGUUGUAAUAUUGGUACUUUCUCAUAAAUUUGUUUUUUUUUUAAACUGCAAUUUUUAAUUAUAAUCUGUAAUUAUAAUUUCUUAUGUAAUGAAAUUGUAAUCCCUAGUAUAAUGCAUAUUCUAGGGCAAGCACAUCACUCAAGAGCAAAGCACCUCGAUGAAAUAGCAAAAAAAAAAGAUUUGAAUGACUGAAAUAAAAUAAAACCACAAAAGAAGGAUGAAGAAAGUAACCGCACUCUGGAUGCCACCAAAAACCUAGUUUUUUUAGCUUUUAUUUAUUUAUUUAAUAUUGUAAUAGGUCAAUAGAAUUACCUCAGUGAGUGUGACACAGAUGAUCAUCAUAGAUAAUUUAUUUUUAAUUGCUUGAGUUUCAUCCUUUAUUGUGUUCAUUCCAGUAAUUCUAUUCUUUGCAAGUCUGUUCCUUUAUUGAUCUGUUUUUUUUUUUUUUUUUAAAAAGAAUAAAACUAAAAAAAACUUCGACCGAUCAUAGCUUAGAUUAGUUAAUUAUAUUUGUUGUUGGAAGCGAGCUAAGUGAUUAUCCUGAACCUUUCACUCGUUUCUUUCUUUGCUAGGUGAGUACUUUUAUACAUUUUUUUUUGUAUGUCACUGUCUCUAUAUGAUCUUAAUUAUGUCAUCAAAAUGCAUUUUUAAUGGGAAUUACUGCUUUAACUCACAAGUGUCAGUUAGAAUCCUUAUACCUUGCCUUGUUGCUUUUGAAGCUGGAUUCCAUACAGAGCUAGAGGCCUUCUCCUUUUCUUCCUCCCGCUAUUUCAUUGAUUGCCAGUGCUUUUCGCACAUAUUUUCCCAAAUUAAGGUAAUGGAAUUCCUAUUCCCAUUCUCUCUGCGCCUGUUUUACUUGUAGUGACUCACUCUCACGCUCUGUAUCCUUAUUUCUCUGAUUUUCAGACCGGUGGAAAAUGGAUAUCAUAAGUGCUGCUGGACCCAUUAUAUCCAAGAUAGCAGAUCUCUUGGUGGAACCAGUAGGAAGGCAGUUCCGUCACAUGUUCUAUUUCAACGAUUUUGUUAAAGAAUUCAAACAAAAAAAGGAGAACCUGGUUUCGGAAAAAGAACGUCUGCAUGACGAUGUCGAAGCUGCUGAAAGGAAUGCUGAAGAAAUUUACGAAGAUGUCAAAAAGUGGCUGGGAGAUGCAAAAAACGAAAUUGAAGGUGCGGAGCCCUUGGAAAAUGAAAUAGGAAAAAAUGGCAAAUGCUUCACUUGGUGUCCAAACUGCAUGCGACAAUUCAAGUUAAGCAAGGCACUGGCCAAGAAGUCGGAGACUUUCAGAGAACUUUUAGAAAAGAAGUUUACAAAAGUGUCCCACAGAGCUUAUCCUCAGCCCAUAGAAUUUCUCCCAUCAAAGGAAUUCAUGCCCUCAGAAUCGUCAGAAGAAGCUUUCAAACAGAUUAUGGAAGCUCUCAAAGAUGACAACGUCAAUAUGAUCGGACUGUGCGGCAUGGGAGGGGUGGGUAAAACCACCGUGGUGAAAGAAGUAGGCAAGAGAGCCAAAGAGUUGCAGCUGUUUGAUGAAGUUUUGAUGGCUACGGUGUCGCAGAAUCCAAAUGUCAUAGACAUUCAGAACCGAAUGGCAGAUAUGUUAGGUUUGAAAAUUGAAGAAAACAGUAAAGAAGGGAGAGCAGGUCGAUUAUGGCAGAGACUGAAGGAAGUGGAGAAGAUGCUUAUAAUCCUAGAUGAUGUUUGGGAAUUUAUUGACUUGAAAGAGAUAGGGAUCCCAUUUGGUGUUGAUCACGGGGGUUGUAAAAUUCUUCUAACAACACGUCGUCAAGGCGUAUGUUCUUCUAUGAACAGCCAGCAAAAAGUGUUCUUAAGAGAAUUACCUGAAAAAGAAGCAUGGGAUUUAUUCAGAAUCAAUGCAGGUUUACGUGAUGGGAACUCUACCUUGAACACAGUGGCAAGGGAGGUUGCGAGAGAAUGCCAAGGCUUGCCUAUAGCACUUGUGACAGUGGGAAGGGCUCUAAGAGAUGCAUCUGCAGUUCAGUGGGAAUUAGCGUCUAGACAGCUCAAAGAAUCUCAAUUUGCGCGCAUGGAACAAAUUGACGAAAAAAAUAAUGCUUAUACAUGUCUUAAGUUGAGCUAUGAUUAUUUGAAGCUCGAGGAAACCAAGUCAUGUUUCGUGCUAUGCUGUUUAUUUCCAGAAGACUAUGAUAUUCCAAUCGAGGACUUGACGAGAUAUGCAGUUGGUUAUGGGUUACAUCAAGAUGCGGAGUCCAUUGAAGAUGCAAGGAAACGAGUUUUUGUGGCAAUCGAAUACCUCAAAGAUUGUUGCAUGCUGUUGGGCACUGAAACUGAAGAACAUGUGAAAAUGCAUGACUUGGUUCGUGACUUUGCUAUUCAGGUAGCAUCAUCAGAAGAAUAUGGAUUCAUGGUAAAGGCUGGCAUUGGGUUGAAGAAGUGGCCAAUGGGCAAUAAAAGCUUUGAAGGUUGUAAAACAAUUUCGUUAAUGGGCAAUAAACUAGCAGAACUUCCUGAAGGAUUGGAAUGUCCAAAGCUCAAAGUUCUAUUGUUAGAAGUGGAUUCUGGUUUGAAUGUUCCAGAGAGUUUUUUUGAAGGGAUGAAAGAAAUUGAAGUUUUGUCUCUGAAGGGAGGGCGUUUGUCAUUGCAAUCACUUGAACUCUCAACGAAACUUCAAUCGUUGGUGUUGAUCAGGUGUGGAUGCAAGGACCUCAUUUGGUUGAGAAAGCUGCAGAGACUUAAGAUUCUUGGUCUUAUGUGGUGCUCAUCCAUUGAAGAAUUACCUGAUGAAAUAGGAGAGCUCAAGGAGUUAAGGUUGUUGGAUGUGACAGGUUGUGAAAGGCUAAGAAGGAUCCCUGUGAAUUUGAUUGGAAGGUUGAAGAAGUUAGAAGAAUUGUUGAUCGGGAAAGACAGCUUUGAGGGAUGGGACAGCACAGGAGGAAUGAAUGCAAGCCUGACAGAACUAAAUUCGUUGUCUCAGUUAGCGGUAUUAUCAUUGAAGAUACCGAAGGUUGAAUGCAUUCCCAGAGAUUUUGUUUUUCCAGUUAGCUUGCGCAAAUAUGAUAUAAUAUUAGGGUAUGGGUUUGUGAGAGGAGGAUACCCAACCUCGACAAGAUUAAUUUUGGGUGGUACAUCCUUAAAUGCGAAGACAUUUGAGCAAUUGUUUUUACAUAAAUUAGAAUCUGUAGAAGUGAGGGAUUGUGGGGAUGUUUUCACUCUGUUUCCAGCAAGAUUGCGGCAAGGUUUAAAAAAUCUAAGGAGGGUAGAAAUUGAGGACUGCAAAUCAUUGGAAGAGGUAUUUGAAUUGGGUGAGGCUGAUGAUGGAAGCAGUGAGGAGAAGGAGCUACCGCUGCUGUCAUCUUUAACACUGUCAGAGUUACCUGAGCUCAAAUGCAUAUGGAAGGGGCCCACCGGGCAUGUCAGCCUUCAAAGUCUUAUUAAUCUGGAGUUGUAUUCUCUCGACAAACUGACAUUUAUCUUCACACCGUUCCUCGCUCAAAGUCUGUCAAAGCUGGAAAGCCUUGACAUAAGAGAUUGCGGUGAAUUGAAGAAUAUUAUCAGAGAAGAGGAUGGUGAAAGGGAAAUAAUUCCAGAGUCUCCUUGCUUCCCACAAUUAAAAAAGAUCAACAUAUCUUUAUGUGAUAAACUGCAAUAUGUCUUCCCAGUCUCUUUGUCUCAUAACAGAGAUGGCAUCAUCAAGUUCCCUCAACUAAGAAGAUUGUCUCUUGAGCUCAGAUCAAAUUACAGCUUUUUAGGUCCAAGGAAUUUUGAUGCUCAAUUGCCUUUGCAAAGAUUAACCAUUAAAGGACACGAAGAAGUGGGUAAUUGGUUGGCACAGCUACAAGUACGUAAUUUAUAUUUCUCCACUAAUUUAAAUUGUCAAUUGCGAUAAUUUAUUAUUUCUUCCUCCCAAUUUCUAAAAGUAAAGUAAUUGAUAAAUGAUUUUUUUUAUUUAAACAUAUAUAAAUAUAAGAAUCUUAACUGCCUCAUUGUUGUUUGCGUUAUUAAAAAUUAAUCAUAUGGAAGAACAUAUUAUCUGUUAGAUUUAACUGCCUCAUUUGAAAUAUAUUAUCUGUUAGAUUUAACUGCCUCAUGGUUUACGUAAUUUAUAUUAUCUGUUAGAUUUAUUCUUUCUUCGUCACUGCUUAUUUUUUUGUUUUAUCUAAACAUAUAUAAAUAUAAGAAACUUAAUACCAACAAUUAAUCAUAGAAAUCAUAUUAGCUUAUUUUGUGUUCAAAUAUUUAAUUCAAUUAAAAUAUCUUUAAAAAUUUAUUAACUUUAUAACUAAAAUAAAAAUAUUAGUUACUAUUUUUAUUUUUAUUUUUUACAUGAAACUAAUUAUUAGGAGUUGUAGUAACCUUUUUUCGCAAAAAUCUAAUUAUUAUUUAACUUAUCUCUAAUUAAGAAAAAAACUGAAACAAUAAUAUGUAAUCUCUAAAAAGUAUGUAAUCCUGUUUUUUCUAUUUUUUUUCUCCUAUUUAUACAUCAUAUAAAUCAUAUAAAUUGUUUUCAUGGGAGUGAAAAAAUAUAAUAUUGUUCUCUGAUAAGAUGGCCGUCCAUGGGCAGCAAAACGGCUUCUUACAAAGAUUAGAAUAUGUAAAAGUGGACGAUUGUGGGGAUGUUCGCGCUCCGUUUCCAGCAAAAUUGCUGCGAGCUUUGAACAAUCUAAAGGAGGUGAUUGUUGACAGCUGUAAAUCAUUGGAGGAGGUAUUUGAAUUGGGUGAGCCUUAUGAAGGAAGCAGUGAGGAGAAGGAGCUGCCGCUUCCAUCAUCUUUAACCAGGUUACAGCUGUACCAGUUACCUGAGCUCAAAUGCAUAUGGAAGGGGCCUACCAGCCAUGUCAGCCUCCAAAGUCUUGCUGAUCUGCAUUUGGAUUCUCUGGACAAACUGACAUUUAUCUUCACACCGUCCCUCGUUCAGAGUCUACCACAGCUAAAAAGCCUUGACAUAAGUAAAUGCAGUGAAUUGAAGCAUAUUAUCAGAGAAGAGGAUGGUGAAAGGGAAAUAAUUCAAGAGUCUCCUGGCUUCCCAAAAUUAAAAACUAUCAUCAUACAAAAGUGUGGUAAACUGGAAUAUGUCUUCCCUGUAUCUGUGUCUCCAAGCCUUCUGAACCUGGAAGAGAUGCGGAUUUUUAAAGCUCAUAAUUUAAAGCAAAUAUUUUACAGUGUAGAAGGAGAUGCACUCACCAGAGAUGCCAUCAUCAAGUUCCCUAAGCUAAGAAGAUUGUCUCUUUCAAAUUGCAGCUUCUUUGCUACAAAGAAUUUUGCUGCCCAAUUGCCUUCCUUGCAAAUUCUAGAAAUUGAUGGCCACAAAGAAUUGGGAAAUUUGUUUGCACAGCUCCAAGUACGUCCUUUAUAUUUCUCCAAUAAUUUUUUUCCUUUUUAAUCUAAAUUGUCAACUUCAAUACAUGUUGAUUUCUUCCUUUAAAUUUCUGAAACUGAAGUAAUUGAUAAGUGGAGAUAAAUCCUUUAGCCAUCCACUAAAUUGAAAAGGAGUUGUCUAAUUGUAUCAUUCCUUGUCUCUUGAUAGAGGGCUUAAGAAGUAAGAAAUUAAUUAUUGUAAUGAAAUCCUACCUUGAUUUAUGCUUUCCCAGUUUGAGUGAAAUUGAGGCUCUUCCCCCAAUUAAUGGAAGUAUUUGAAGAGGAAGAUAAACCUCCAUCUGCUAAUAUUGAGUUGAUUGUUUCAGUCCUGCAGCUUAUGAUUUCAUAUUCCCAUGUCUACUUCUAUCCUUUUGUUGAUAAGUUUUUUUGCUGAAGUUUAUAUGGACAAUUCGUUCAUCUAUUUACCAAAAUUAUAUAGUUCAAAAGUGCACAAAAUUUCUUUUGAUGCAGGGGUUGACAAAUUUGAAAACAUUACGCUUGAAGUCUCUGCCUGACAUGAGGUGUAUAUGGAAGGGUCUUGUGCUGAGCAAAUUGACUACUUUGGAGGUAAUCUAUCUGGAUAAAAAUUAGACCAAAGUACAUCAAAUAACAUCACAAAAAAAUUAUUAAUAUAUAAGAGCAUAAAUUUUGUGUUGAAAAUUUUGAAGUCAAUUAAAAUAUCUUUAAAAAUUUAUUAACUUUAUAACUAAAAUAAAAAUCUUAGUUACUAUUUUUAUUUUUAUUUUUUACAUGAAACUAAUUAUUAGGAGUUGUAUUAACCUUUUUUUCACAAAAAUCUAAUUAUUAUUCAACUUAUCUCUAAUUAAGAACAAAACUAAAACAAUAAUAUGUAAUCUCUAAAAAGUAUUUAAUCCUGUUUUUUUCUCCUAUUUAUACAUCAUAUAAAUUGUUUUUAUGAGAGUGAAAAAAUAUAAUAUUGUUCUCUGAUCAGAUGGCCGCCCAUGGGCAGCAAAACGGCUCCUUACAAAGAUUAGAAUCUGUACUAGUGGACAAUUGUGGGGAUGUUCGCGCUCCGUUUCCAGCAAAAUUGCUGCGAGCUUUGAACAAUCUAAGAUUGCGGGUGAGCAUUUCCACCUGCAAAUCAUUGGAAGAGGUAUUUGAAUUAGAUGAGGCUGAUGAAGGAAGCAGUGAGGAGAAGGAGCUGCUGUCAUCCUUAACAUUGUUACAGCUGUCAGGGUUACCUGAGCUCAAAUGCAUUUGGAAGGGGCCCACCAGACAUGUCAGCCUCCAAAGUCUUAAUAUUCUGAGUUUGGAUUCUCUCGACAAACUGCCAUUUAUCUUCACACCGUCCCUCGCUCAAAGUCUGCCAAAGCUAGCAGGCCUCUACAU
rnacentral:lncRNA from 1 species